rnacentral:rRNA from 1 species
UACGGAGGAUCCAAGCGUUAUCCGGAUUUAUUGGGUUUAAAGGGUGCGUAGGCGGAUUGAUAAGUUAGAGGUGAAAUGUCCGAGCUCAACUCGGGAACCGCCUCUAAUACUGUUGAUCUAGAGAGUAGAUGCGGUGGCGGAAUGUAUGGUGUAGCGGUGAAAUGCUUAGAGAUCAUACAGAACACCGAUUGCGAAGGCAGCUUACCAAUCUAUAUCUGACGUUGAGGCACGAAAGCGUGGGGAGCAAACAGG